GACGAACGCUGGCGGCGUGCUUAACACAUGCAAGUCGAACGGAAAGGCCCUGCUUUUGUGGGGUGCUCGAGUGGCGAACGGGUGAGUAACACGUGAGUAACCUGCCCUUGAAUUUGGGAUAACUUCAGGAAACUGGGGCUAAUACCGGAUAGGAGCUCCUGCUGCAUGGUGGGGGUUGGAAAGUUUCGGCGGUUGGGGCUGGACUCGCGGCUUAUCAGCUUGUUGGUGGGGUAGUUGCUUACCAAGGCUUUGACGGGUAGCCGGCCUGAGAGGGUGACCGGCCACAUGGGGACUGAGAUACGGCCCAGACGCCUACGGGAGGCAGCAGGCGGGAAUAUUGCACAAUGGGCGGAAGCCAGAUGCAGCAACGCCGCGUGCGGGAUGACGGCCUUCGGGUUGUAAACCACUUUCGCCGGUGACGAAGCGUGAGUGACGGUAAUGGGUAAAGAAGCACCGGCUAACUACGUG
rnacentral:rRNA from 1 species